rnacentral:rRNA from 1 species
AAGCGAAACUGCGGACGGCUCAUACAACAGAUAUAAUCUACUGUCUAAUCCUUAAACGGAUAACUGCGGUAAAUCUGGAGGCAAUACGUGAAGAAAGCCGGAUUCAGCAAUGAGUUCGGUGCACUUAUCGGAGCAAAAUCAAUCCUGAUACAUGCUAACUCUAGAUUACAAGCUUAUCGCAUGGCCUUGUGCCGGCGAAAUUACAUUCGAGUAUCUGCCUUAUCAACUAUCGUUGGUAGUGUAUUGGACUACCAUGGUGUUGACGGGUAACGGAGAAUCAGGGUUUGACUCCGGAGAGGGAGCCUUAGAAACGGCUACCAUGUUUAAGGACAGCAGCAGGCGCGCAACUUAUCCACUGAUCACCUGAUCGAGAUAGUGACGAGAAAUAACAAGCCCGUUCUCUUUGAGGUCGGGCAUUGGAAUGGAUGAAAUCUAAACAAUUUCAUGAGUACCCACGAGAGGGCAAGUCUGGUGCCAGCAGCCGCGGUAAUUCCAGCUCUCGUAAUGUAUAGAAUUAUUGUUGCGGUUAAAAAGUUCGUAGUUGGAUUCUAUACCAGUUGUGGGUAGUGCUUAACGGCUCUCACUCACACUGGUUUUUGCAUUCCGUCAACUUGUUGGCGGUGUGUAGAUUACUUUGAACGGCUUAAGUGCUCAAGGCGAGUCUUCGGACUGAAUACCGGUGCAUGGAAUAAUGGAACAAGGUUUCGGCCGAGUUUUAUUGGUUUUGUCGGCUAAAACAAUGGUUAACAGGAACAGCUGGGGGCACUCGUAUUGCUGCGCGAGA